AUUUCUCUCAUAGGGUUGCCAACCCUCCAGGAUUGCCCUGGAGUCUCCAGGAAUCAAGAUUAAUCUUCAAUUAAAGAUUACGUCAUGUGAUGAAACCCUCAGGAACAUGUCCAAACAA